rnacentral:rRNA from 1 species
UACAGAGGAUGCAAGCGUUGUCCGGAAUGAUUGGGCGUAAAGCGUCUGUAGGUGGCUUUUUAAGUCCGCCGUCAAAUCCCAGGGCUCAACUCUGGACAGGCGGUGGAAACUACCAAGCUGGAGUACGGUAGGGGCAGAGGGAAUUUCCGGUGGAGCGGUGAAAUGCGUAGAGAUCGGAAAGAACACCCGUGGCGAAGGCGGCUCUCUGGAACGCAACUGACGCUGAGACGCGAAAGCGUGGGGAGCAAACAGG